GCCAGCCCGCUCAAGAACUCAAAUGAAUUGACGGGGGCCCGCACAAGCGGUGGAGUAUGUGGUUAAUUCGAUGCAACGCGAAGAACCUUACCUGGUCUUGACAUCCCGGAGACCCUUAGGAAACUAGGGGGUGCUUCCAUCUGGAAGAAUCUGGAGACAGGUGCUGCAUGGCUGUCGUCAGCUCGUGUCGUGAGAUGUUGGGUUAAGUCCCGCAACGAGCGCAACCCUUGCCUUUAGUUGCCAGCAGUUCGGCUGGGCACUCUAAAGGGACUGCCGGUGUUAAACCGGAGGAAGGUGGGGAUGACGUCAAGUCCUCAUGGCCUUUAUGACCAGGGCUACACACGUACUACAAUGGCCGAUACAAAGGGCAGCGACACUGCGAGGUGAAGCCAAUCCCGUAAAAUCGGUCUCAGUCCGGAUUGGAGUCUGCAACUCGACUCCAUGAAGUUGGAAUCGCUAGUAAUCGUGGAUCAGCAUGCCACGGUGAAUACGUUCCCGGGCCUU
rnacentral:rRNA from 1 species